UACGUAGGUGACAAGCGUUGUCCGGAUUUACUGGGCGUAAAGAGCGUGUAGGCGGUCCGGUAAGUCCGCUGUGAAAGUCCAGGGCUCAACCCUGGAAUGCCGGUGGAUACUGCCGGGCUAGAGUCCGGAAGAGGCGAGUGGAAUUCCUGGUGUAGCGGUGAAAUGCGCAGAUAUCAGGAGGAACACCGAUGGCGAAGGCAGCUCGCUGGGACGGUACUGACGCUGAGACGCGAAAGCGUGGGGAGCAAACAGG
rnacentral:rRNA from 1 species